UCUCACCUUGACUCCAGAAAAACCUCCCAGGAUUUAGGUCCCUUGAAUUCUUCUUUUCCCCCAUGCCAUUUUUUCCUGAAAAGCAGAGGGAAGGAUUCAUAGAAGAUGAUUCGAUUAUAUGAGGCCAAGAUGCUACAGAUUCUGCACCAAUCCCUGACCAAAAGCAUGCAAAAUGAGAAGUGAAGCUCUCCUGUGAUUCCUUUGGGCUACAGAAGAGAAGCUCAGCAUGGCGGCUGGAGGAGGAGGUAUAUGGCUCCAUUUUUCUCAUCAAUCGUGGAAACCCCUUCAACCUGGAGGUGUUGGUAGACUCCUGGUUAGACUGUCAGACUGUCAUUACUCUGCCUCAGAAACAGCUCUUGUGGUGGCCAUGGGAGACAUCAUCCAUCAGUUUCAACUAACAGUUAUUUGGAGGUCCACAAUUUAUUCCCUCUCAAUAGAUAUCAAUAGAUGAAAAUUACUGGGAAAAUGUUAGCCUUGGAAUCAGAAAGGCCUGGGUUCAAGUCGUACUUGUUUCUAAUAAGUUGUGCGACCCUAGGUAAGUCACUUCAUCCUCCCUGGGUCCCAGGUCCUACAGCUGUAAAAUAAGAGACCUAGGCUAGUUAACUGACAAAACUCCUUCCAGCCUCACAUUCCAUACAUCCACAAAUGUUUACAUUGGCAGAAUUAGUGUUAUUAGCUUGGGAAUAUAGAAUUCUAGGGGCGGAAGGAGCCCUAGGGGUCAUUCAGUCCAAUCCCCUUGUUUCACAGAGGAAAUGGGUUCAAAGAGAAAAAAUGACUUAUCCUAAGCACCUAAAUUAAAAAGUGAAAAAGCUAUGAUUCAAAUCUAAGUCAUUUAAGUAAAAAGAGG
rnacentral:lncRNA from 1 species